AUUGAGUUGGAAAGGUAUCUGGAGGAUGGUCCUGAAGAUGAUGUUUUUAGAUUUAACAUUCUCACUUUUUGGAAAGUAAACUCAAAUAAAUAUCAUGUUCUUUCCCGCAUAGCACGCGAUAUAUUGUCUAUUCCUGUAUUCACAGUUCUUUCCCUCUAUUGUUGAAGCUUUGAUCUGCACCCAAAAUUGGAUCAAAUCUCCCAAGGUCAUUGAUUUAGAUGCCGAGUUGAUUGAAGUGGAAAAGAUCGAGUUAGAGUUGGCUGGAUUAGUUACUAUUGAUGUCGGCGUUACUUCAACUGAGCUUAACACGAUCACUAAUACCGGAAAUUAAGCUGUGUUGUUGCUACUGAAUAUGCUGUUGCUGAUGAUGUUUUUUGUGCUGCUACUGGAAUUGUGUCUUGUUGUUGCUGAUGGUGUAUUUUUUGUUGAUGUGAUGCGACUGGAUUCAUUGUUGUUGUGAUGAUGUUUGUUGCUACUGCAUUUUAUGUUGCUGCUACUGUUUUUAAUUUUGA